rnacentral:rRNA from 1 species
AACGAACGCUGGCGGCAUGCCUAACACAUGCAAGUCGAACGAGACCUUCGGGUCUAGUGGCGCACGGGUGCGUAACGCGUGGGAACCUGCCCUUAGGUUCGGAAUAACUCCCCGAAAGGGGUGCUAAUACCGGAUAAUGUCUUCGGACCAAAGAUUUAUCGCCUUUGGAUGGGCCCGCGUUGGAUUAGCUAGUUGGUAGGGUAAAAGCCUACCAAGGCGACGAUCCAUAGCUGGUCUGAGAGGAUGAUCAGCCACACUGGGACUGAGACACGGCCCAGACUCCUACGGGAGGCAGCAGUGGGGAAUAUUGGACAAUGGGCGAAAGCCUGAUCCAGCAAUGCCGCGUGAGUGAUGAAGGCCUUAGGGUUGUAAAGCUCUUUUACCCGGGAUGAUAAUGACAGUACGGGGAGAAUAAGCUCCGGCUAACUCCGUG